GUGGGAUAAGAAAGUUAGGAUGUGACGGGUUUCAUGCUCAUCUCGAGCUGCCAAUCUUGCACAUUAAGCAAUUGGCUCAUUGGCAUGCUCUUGUCCUCUGGGCCUGCCGCGGAGCCAUCUCCCGUUUGAUAUCUGCUCCCGGGGGACGUUCCCAACUUGGCCGGAGAGAGGCGCCGCGAGCAGCACAAGCUCAACCAAAACUUUUCUAAUGUAAUGGGCCGGAAUUAGGGGAAGAACAAACGAAGGAGAGGGUGGGGUGGAUGAGGAAGAG
ensembl:ncRNA ZC123.9 ncRNA